AUUAAAUAAAUCUAUAGAAAAAAGAGGACAGGAAGACCAAAGAAAAGGUGGAUGAAUUGCAUGAAAGAGGAUAUGUGUGUAAAAGGGGUGGAAAAUGCGUUGACAUAUGACAGAAGUGAGUGGGUGAAAAAUACAUGUUGUGCCGACCAA